UACGAAGGGGGCUAGCGUUGCUCGGAAUCACUGGGCGUAAAGCGCACGUAGGCGGUCUUUUAAGUCAGGGGUGAAAUCCUGGAGCUCAACCCCAGAACUGCCUUUGAUACUGGGAGACUUGAGUCCGGGAGAGGUGAGUGGAACUGCGAGUGUAGAGGUGAAAUUCGUAGAUAUUCGCAAGAACACCAGUGGCGAAGGCGGCUCACUGGCCCGGUACUGACGCUGAGGUGCGAAAGCGUGGGGAGCAAACAGG
rnacentral:rRNA from 1 species